rnacentral:lncRNA from 1 species
AUUCGCAUUGACGGAAGGAAGUCGUCGAGUUUCAACUGAAUUCUCUCAAUCUGUUAUUGGUUGAAAUCGCCUUGGGCAUCGUGCGACUAGACCGUGGCUGCUGACCACACCGAGCAAUCUGACCUAGAGUAAAGAAGUUAUGCCGCGGAUCUGGAUCGGACGGGAUCGCUCGUUGAUCUGAAGCUGAACCCGUUGCGUCUUGUUGUCUUCUGCGUCUUUGUAUUUACUCCCGAGAAUCACGAGGGGAUCGAGCUGUCGUACGAGAAGAGCUAGUCGCGGUUCGAUACGAUCCUUCUCUUCAGAUCUUACAGAAGGAGCAGUUCUUCAACGCGUUCAGUGGUAGUCUGCCCGUUCAGAGGAUACCCGGAACGAUGACCAUCCGAAAGACAAAACAGAGGAGAAGGAAUUAUCGCGAUCUCAACUGUACCGCAAUGGAUAGUUGCGCGGUCGCUGGAGAUUUUUCUUUUCCACACCCUCGGCCGAAUCAUCCGAUAUAUCGUGGGUUCUGAUGGUCGUGUAUAAGUAAUAUCGAAGCUAUCGUACGGUCUAAAUAUCGACGAUAGGAAUGAGACGAAGAGUAAGAGGGCGAAGAA